rnacentral:rRNA from 1 species
UACGAAGGGGGCUAGCGUUGCUCGGAAUCACUGGGCGUAAAGCGCACGUAGGCGGACUCUUAAGUCGGUGGUGAAAUCCUGGAGCUCAACUCCAGAACUGCCUUCGAUACUGAGAGUCUUGAGUCCGAGAGAGGUGAGUGGAACUGCGAGUGUAGAGGUGAAAUUCGUAGAUAUUCGCAAGAACACCAGUGGCGAAGGCGGCUCACUGGCUCGGUACUGAUGCUGAGGUGCGAAAGCGUGGGGAGCAAACAGG